UACGAAGGGGGCUAGCGUUGCUCGGAAUUACUGGGCGUAAAGGGCGCGUAGGCGGCUAGUUUAGUCAGAGGUGAAAGCCCAGGGCUCAACCUUGGAAUUGCCUUUGAUACUGGCUAUCUUGAGUACGGAAGAGGUAUGUGGAACUCCGAGUGUAGAGGUGAAAUUCGUAGAUAUUCGGAAGAACACCAGUGGCGAAGGCGACAUACUGGUCCGUUACUGACGCUGAGGCUCGAAAGCGUGGGGAGCAAACAGG
rnacentral:rRNA from 1 species